ensembl:lncRNA
CCAUGAUCAGCCUUGCUGCUUAAAUAAAGCUCAAAUGUGUGAGUAGACAGACUGCUUCUCCCUGCUGACAAAUGAGAAUUGAAGGCACAGCAAUAGGAAUCUUACAGUGAUCUUUGAUCAGUCUGAAGCGUUCUCAGUCUCACGGCAAACACGAGGAAAAGCUGCCUUCUCCUCACCCUACUGCUCCUCGCCGUUUCAGUCCGGAGCGCGGUGCUCCUGCUGGCGCUGCCGGCAGUGCGCGCCUCCCGCCCGGCCCAGCCGAGCGCCGUCUGCGCGCUGCCGCUCUCUGCUUGCUUCCAGCGCCCGCUAGAUGACGCCUGUGAUUUUGACAGGAGCUUGCAGCCUCGGGAGUGGAAGAUUUCAAAGAUAAGUUCCUCUUUUUCCACAUCUUGUAUGGGUGGGUCUGUGUGCGUGGCGCAAAGAGGCCUCGAGCAUAGGGAAGACCAAAACAUAUCUUUGUCGCUGCGUAUUUGUGAGGACUGUGAGGCUGGAGAGAUGUGCUUUGUACUUCCAGACCCUAUUCUCACCUGGUUUGUGGAGCACUAACUAGAUUCAGCACAACAAACUUCAGCACAACAAAAAUGGUGAUGCUGAUAUGUACAACCCAUGACCUAAUGGAGGAAGGAGAAGAAUAUUAAAAACAGCUACGACGUCAGCAGACAGGCACAUCUCUCCAUGUUGUAGUGCAUGUCUUGCAGAAAUAUGCAGGAACAACUUAAGUUCACCUCCAUAGGUGAACACCUCUAGCCAGCGAUAUGCCUCAGUAUGGAAUGCAGCAGAGCUAAGUCAAUGCCUUAAUUACAGUAAAACAAAGGACACUCCUCUUCACCUAUCUGCCUCCGCUGGUUGCAUGUACUCAUGUCUAUAAAUCAAGACUUGCUUUCAUUUAAGAAAUACACAGCAUAGUUAAGACUAAUGGUAAAUAAAGGUCAUUAAACUAGAUUGACUGGACAUUUAUGUCAAGGUAUGGCAAGUUCAUUUAUAUAAAUAAUCUUGAUUGUUUUAUAACAAGCAAAUACAAUUUCCUCCUCUGGGAGCAGGUGCGGGAGGUGGUUUUAUUUGGUUGUUUGGAUUCUGAAAGUAACAUUCUGAAUAUGGGUGGGGAAAACGAGGAGAAAAUUAAAGUUGUCAUACUACAAAGUGCUUUCUGUAUCUGGGCAAUGCAAUCUUCAUUUCAUCAAAGGCUAAAACCGAAAUCCUGUCACUUGAAAGCUAAGGGAUUUGCCGACUGAGGUGGGAGUCUGCAGUUAGAACCUCAGCACUAAACACACAUAGCUGUUUACCUUGCUGGUGCCCUUGGAUCUGCGAUAUCCCCUGGAGAGCUUUAGAAAGAACCAACAAACAUCUAAGAACUAUUGAGUCAAGUCUUACCUUCCUUGGUUUCACUGCAAUCAUACUGGGACCUCCAGAGAUGCCAGUUAGAACCUUUGUUGGCCAUUGAUCAAAGGAGCAACUGUGCUGAAUCGAAACCUAGGAUGUCUUUUCCUUGGGAUAUGUGUGAGUCAUACUGACAAUGCCUAGAGAGUUUUAAAUAACCUCAUUAAACCUCGUUUCACCUUCUUUGCUACCAGUUAUUGCUGCUAACUGCCACUUCCAUGGAUGUUUAUAGCCUCUCUGCACAGUACAAAACAUUUAAUGUGAAAGAAAUAACAUGCAGGCAAAUGACCCUGCAACCACUCCAAAAGGGAAAGACUUCAGGACCUCCUCGUGCCUGAGGAAGAAGCAAGAAUGGGUAUAUCUGAUAUUUUUCCCUCUCACAAAGCAGCUCAGGCCCUGUAUUGCUCUGUACUUUUGGAUGUAAUACACUUGUGUCACAUUGCUCUCAUGUGUGACUGUCUUCAGAUCUGAAAUCAUCUCUUCCUCCAGGUGGAACAUGCUUUUCUCCGUAGAAAGAUCUCAGUAUAGGGGCAGAAACUGACUGAAUCAUGGUCUGUAUUGCAUUUUCUUCUCCUUGGUCUGAGAGAAAUUGGACAGAAAUGAGUGUUAUGUUCCAACAGUCUCUCUUUAUGUUCAUUGUCCUGGGAUAUGAUGUGGGCAAAGUAACAUUCUGAUCUGCAGUUGUUGAAACAUGACAGCUGGUGCACAGUGUUCUUUCUUUGAUUAAGAAAGGCUUAAACAAAACUUGCGGGACAUCCAGACAGCUCUCCUUCACAGGCUAUGGUGUGAUACAAGAUGUUUCACUGAAGAAAAUGGAACUACUCUGAGAUCAGAAUCAGGUCCAAGGUGAAAGAACAAUGAGUUCUUCUCAACAAUUCUUCGUCAGGUCCAUAUGGAAAGUAGUUAUGCUGCAGAGCAGCGUCAAAACAGCUUAUUAGUUAUAUCCUUCUUCCCUUCUGAGGCAGUUUAAAGGUUUAUGCUGCAUUUGUAGCAUAAGUUUCCGUAAGAAACACAUUCUGUUUGCAGCACAUCAGACUUGUGAAUCCCAAAUUCAUAAUACCAGCUAGUGAAUUCUAGAUGCUGUCUUGGAAACAAUAGUUUUGAGACCUUGUACUUGGAUCUUCCUCAGCCCACCUUCCAGAUCAUGUCCAUAAAACCUCUCCCAUGAUACCCUUCUUGCUGUCAGUUCAUUUUCAUCACAUUAGUGGUCAUCCUCCCGUUGAACUGAGAAAGAAGAAUAGGAAGAAUGUAUUCACCAAUUCUAAUCCAUGCUGAACACAUUUUCAUACGCUUAGGCAUCUUGAAGUCGGUAGGAACAUUUGCAUCAAAGUGUUUGCUGCAGGGGUAUCCUGCUCAUCAGAUUUUACUGGCACCUGUGUACGUGUGGAGAAAACCGUAUAUGUAAAUAUUUGCCGAAACUGAAUUUUCAGUGUGCAGAAGCACUUAUGUCAGUUGUAUGUUUUGGAUCACUCAACUUCUAAGUGUCAGAGCUUCGGGAGUGCCCGCCUGGCACCCUCUGUGGUUCAAGGGAAGGCAAUAUUUGCAAAAGCAGCUCACAGCCAAUCAUGCAGCCUCUUGGUUCUCAGGCUACUGAAUGCCAGUAUGAUCUUGGAGAGGAAAACGAGCAUCUGAUUAUCGGCUCCUCCAGCCAUCUUGUGUCUGAAAUUCUUCCUGAUUUUUUUGGGUUGCAGUCAAAUCAAAAUACUAAGAAAAAGCAUGAGGAACUCCUUGAACUUGUCACAACUCUUGCAAGUCCCCAGCUUUGCCACUUGGAAAAACAUAUCCUGCUACCUGUGCUUUUCUCCUUUGAAGCUUGUCAAGCAGCAAAGUGAGAUCCUUGUUUUCCAGGAUAAAUAUCGUUGGAUGAUAAAAUCUAAAUAAUGUCACAUGCCCUCCAGAACGUUAGCAUGAUGAACAGUUUUUCCAAGACAGGAUUUUAGUGGGAAGAUUUUUGUCUAUUACUUUAAAAACAUUGCAUGUUCUAGAGUCUUGUGACUGGGUUUAAGUGAACGUGUGCAAAUGACAGCCCUUCAGAAUGAUUAAAGUAACACACAAUGCAAGUCUUUUGUUUGAGAAAGAAUGAUUAUGUUUUGGUUUUGAAAACUCUUUCAUGGCCCAUUUCUUUUUUUUUUUUUUUUUGGUUAUGAUAGAAAUGCUGUAUUGUUUCAUCUACAGAAGUUACUGAUAUUGUAACUAACAUUAAGAGUAUUGGUUUGGACUUGCUCUGCAGUAACUGAUUUACAUUCUUGAGUGAGAAAAAACAGUGAGUAGUGUCUGAGGAUAAUUAUGACCAAUUGCACCUGUGCUCCUCAAAGCAAACAGUACCAAAAUCUCAACUCAGCAUAAUUCCACUCCCAGUUUUACUUGAAAAGAAUAAAUCAAUGAACAACUCCAUGGAAAGAAUUUUGUUUUUAAGAGGAAAUCAACAUUUUUCGUACACUCUUCCAUGGCUUAGAGAAAUAUGUGAGCCAAGAAACUAAAAAGCCCUAGUGUGGUGUAAAUCUUGAAUUGUCUACUGUGUUCAUGCAUCAGUUGCUCAGAGGAACCUUUGGAAGUGUGACAGAACCAGCCAUUGCCAUGUGAAAUCUAUCAGUUGAAACAAUGAAGACAUAUUAACAGGCUGCUGAUUUUCCAUUACCGCCUGUGGAGGAAGCAAGUGUCACAUCACUGUUCUUGCCAUUCAGUUUUGGAAUCAAAUGCUUUGCAUUGCUUUUGAUAGCCUGGGCAGCGGUUGAUAUGGAUAAUGAUGCAUACGUUUUGUUCUUCUGGCUGGAUGAGGACUGGCUUGGUCCAGUGAGGCUGGUCCAGAUAAAGAGUUCAGAUUUGCUGCCUAACAGUCCUUCAGAUAUCCAUCUAACGCUGUCUGUUUCCAAAGUGAUGUUCCAGAAGCUAUUUUGCUAGAGUGUUUAUGGAGUGUAGAAAGGAAAGUAACAAAAGUUAGUAUAUCUUCCAAUUUUAUUUGAGUGACAACUCACAUGCAGCUAGUAGGCUGGCUUUCCUUUCAUGGCUUGUUUCUCAAAACAUGUAGGACUCAAUGCACAAAGACUUACGCUACUGUGAUAAAAAACAGUGUUGUGACUUGCUGUAGGAAGACCAUUCAGCAACCUGGCAUUAUGUAUUCCUUCCAGAAGUAAUCCAUGUCAGAAGUGUAAUACGACGGUGUCAUCCUUGUGAGGAAACCUUUGUAGGGCCUAGAAGGCACAGCCCAGGAGAAGUGCCUUUGAGAUCAUUUCCCAUAAACUCUAUCUGAACCUUGUAAAAUAUUGGCCUCUAUGCAUGCUGCAGUAGAUGAAUGUGACCUCCAUUUAUCUUUCAUAUUACAAAUAUUUUCUGUGAUUUAAGGCCUUCAUUGCUUCCGUUUGCUGUCAAGGAAAUGAAGGAAAUAGGUUUCAGUAGCACUUUACAGAAUGUACUUAUCUUCAGUCAUUGCUGUAAAUAUGUAGUGAUCAUAUUCUCACUGUGCAAAAUAAAUCAGAAUGUUUUGCCAGUUAGUUCACUCAGAUCUGAACUUAAGUUAUAACCACUGUCAAUUUUUCCCUUGUUAAUAAAUUUCUUAGCUGCAUUGUAUUUUUAACACUUUUCAUUGAUUCACAGCUAUAGUUAAUAAAGAAGUGUUGGAAUAAAAUCAAGGUCCACUGAGUAUCUUUCCAGUGUAGUAUUUAGAACAGCAAGGAUCUCAUAAAUAACAGUAGUGGGAUUUGUAAAGUAUCUCACCUCUGUGGUGCUUGAAGUCCUGAACAGAGG